rnacentral:rRNA from 1 species
AGUGAACGCUGGCGGUAGGCCUAACACAUGCAAGUCGAACGGCAGCACAGUAAGAGCUUGCUCUUACGGGUGGCGAGUGGCGGACGGGUGAGGAAUACAUCGGAAUCUACUUUUUCGUGGGGGAUAACGUAGGGAAACUUACGCUAAUACCGCAUACGACCUACGGGUGAAAGCAGGGGAUCUUCGGACCUUGCGCGAUUGAAUGAGCCGAUGUCGGAUUAGCUAGUUGGCGGGGUAAAGGCCCACCAAGGCGACGAUCCGUAGCUGGUCUGAGAGGAUAAUCGGCCACACUGGAACUGAGACACGGUCCAGACUCCUACGGGAGGCAGCAGUGGGGAAUAUUGGACAAUGGGCGCAAGCCUGAUCCAGCCAUACCGCGUGGGUGAAGAAGGCCUUCGGGUUGUAAAGCCCUUUUGUUGGGAAAGAAAAGCAGCAGGUUAAUACCCCGCUGUUCUGACGGUACCCAAAGAAUAAGCACCGGCUAACUUCGUG